UACGUAGGUCGCAAGCGUUGUCCGGAUUUACUGGGCGUAAAGAGCGCGCAGGCGGCUGGCCAAGUCCGAUGUGAAAGCUUCCGGCUCAACUGGAAAAUUGCAUCGGAAACUGGUCGGCUUGAAGGUGGGAGAGGGUAGCGGAAUUCCCGGUGUAGCGGUGAAAUGCGUAGAUAUCAAGAGGAACACCAGUGGCGAAGGCGAGUCCCUGGACGAUACCUGACACUGAGGCACGAAAGCUAGGGGAGCAAACAGG
rnacentral:rRNA from 1 species